AUUGAACGCUGGCGGCAGGCCUAACACAUGCAAGUCGAGCGAGCGGCGGACGGGUGAGUGAUGUCUGGGAAACUCCCUGAUGGAGGGGGAUAACUACUGUAAACGGUAGCUAAUACCGCAUCCCAUCAGAUGUGCCCAGAUGGGAUUAGCUCGUAGGUGGGGUAACGGCUCACCUUGGCGACGAUCCCUAGCUGGUCUGCGAGGAUGACCAGCAACACUGGAACUGAUACACGGUCCAGACUCCUACGGGAGGCAGCAGUGGGGAUUAUUGCACAAGGGGCGCAAGCCUGAGGCAGCCAUGCCGCGUGUGUGAAAAAGGCCUCUGGGUUGUAAAGCACGUUCAGCGGGGAGGCGUUACCCGAAGAGGAAGCACCGGCUAACUCCGUGCCAGCAGCCGCGGUAAUUC
rnacentral:rRNA from 1 species